CACAUGAGACAUGACAUAGAUAUUUCCCAUUAUACAAAUUAAGUUUUAGAUUUAGUAAGAAGAUAACUGUCCCAAGACAAACAUUCUCAUGGAUACAGUAGAGAAUUUUAAAGGUAUAUUGCUACAGUAAGGAACGAAAGGACAACUUCAGUUUGCCUCUGGUGGUCGUGUUUCCAUUCUGAAGAGAUCGACCCUUGUGUAUUUUAGGCUGGAAUUCAGCACACAGAAGACCACAGCUGUGAGCAGUCCAGCAGGUUGGAGCUGGCUCUGCUGAGAGAUUAAUGCAAAUAAAUGCACUGGUUCUCCCUGGUCAACCUUUUUACAGUUCAUCUGUUUGCACUGAAUACAAUGGUUAAAAAAAUAGACAGCUUUCUGGAUUCCUCUCCCUUCUUUCUUGUGAAAUGGAAGACACUAUCACAAGACAACCUCUAAUGGAGUCUCUGCUGAAUCCUGCCAUCAAGAGGACACUGAUUUCUGACUUCCAAAGCACUCUCUUGGAGACUUUCUUGCAUUAAAUAAUAUUUUGAGGAAAACUAGCUUUUGAAUGUCACAGUGUUGCUUAUUAGUGGUUGAUAGGUGUCAGUGUGCUAAUAGACACCUAGACUUCAAAAAAAAAAUCGAUAAAUCUCAGCAGCAAAGAGAAAGUUUUGCUG